rnacentral:rRNA from 1 species
UACGAAGGGGGCUAGCGUUGUUCGGAAUUACUGGGCGUAAAGCGCACGUAGGCGGAUUGGAAAGUCAGAGGUGAAAUCCCGGGGCUCAACCUCGGAACUGCCUUUGAUACUGCAAGUCUUGAGUUCGAGAGAGGUGAGUGGAAUUCCUAGUGUAGAGGUGAAAUUCGUAGAUAUUCGGAAGAACACCAGUGGCGAAGUCGGCUCACUGGCUCGUUACUGACGCUGAGUUGCCAAAGCGUGGGGAGCCAACAGG